rnacentral:rRNA from 1 species
UACGGGAGGCAGCAGUGGGGAAUAUUGCACAAUGGGCGCAAGCCUGAUGCAGCCAUGCCGCGUGUAUGAAGAAGGCCUUCGGGUUGUAAAGUACUUUCAGUCGUGAGGAAGGUGUUAAGGUUAAUAACCUUAGCAAUUGACGUUAGCGACAGAAGAAGCACCGGCUAACUCCGUGCCAGCAGCCGCGGUAAUACGGAGGGUGCGAGCGUUAAUCGGAAUUACUGGGCGUAAAGGGCACGCAGGCGGUUAAUUAAGUUGGAUGUGAAAUCCCCGGGCUUAACCUGGGAAUGGCAUUCAAGACUGGUUAGCUAGAGUCUUGUAGAGGGGGUAGAAUUCCGAUGUGUAGCGGUGAAAUGCGUAGAGAUGUGGAGGAAUACCGGUGGCGAAGGCGGCCCCUGGACAAAGACUGACGCUCAUGUGCGAAAGCGUGGGGAGCGAAACAGGGAUUAGAU